rnacentral:rRNA from 1 species
GCKGWGGAAAAARRAAACAACAGGGAUUGCCCCAGUAACUGCGAGUGAAGCGGCAACAGCCCAGAUUUGAAAUCUGGCCUUCUGUAGGAGGUCUGAGUUGUAAUCUGUAGAGGAUGUCGUUGACCGACAGCUGCUUCGAAGUCCCCUGGAAUGGGGUGCCAUAGAGGGUGAGAGCCCCGUGCGGUAGAGGCUGGACGGUCAUGAUACGGCUCCUUCGGCGAGUCGAGUAGUUUGGGAAUGYUGCUCUAAAUUGGAGGUAAAUUCCUUCUAAGGCUAAAUAUCGGCCGGAGACCGAUAGCGCACAAGUAGAGUGAUCGAAAGAUGAAAAGUACUUUGAAAAGAGGGUUAAACAGUACGUGAAAUUGUUGAAAGGGAAGCGCCCGCGACUAGACUUGUACCUGACCGAUCGCUCCGCGACCCCGUGUCGUGGAGUUUUCCCGGUCAUGGUUUGCAGGCCAACAUCGGUUUGUGCUGGGGGAUAAGAGUAGUGGGAACGUAGCUUGUCCUCGGGCGAGUGUUAUAGCCUACCACACGGUACCCCGACGCAGAUCGAGGAACGCGUCUCGACACGGAGUGCKAUG